UCGAUUGGCAAGUCUGGUGCCAGCAGCCGCGGUAAUUCCAGCUCCAAUAGCGUAUAUUAAAGUUGUUGCAGUUAAAAAGCUCGUAGUUGAAUUUCGGGGUUCUACCGUUGGUCGGGCUAUUGUCUGUACUGGCGUGUAGAAUUUCUACCUUCUGGGGAACUAUCAUGUUAUUAAUUUAGCGUGGUAGGAAACCAGGACCUUUACCUUGAAAAAAUUAGAGUGUUCAAAGCAGGCUUAUGUCUGAAUACAUUAGCAUGGAAUAAUAAAAUAGGACGGUGGUCCUGUUUUGUUGGUUUCUGAAUCACCGUAAUGAUUAAUAGGGAUAGUUGGGGGCAUUAGUAUUCAAUUGUCAGAGGUGAAAUUCUUGGAUUUAUUGAAGACUAACUACUGCGAAAGCAUUUGCCAAGGAUGUUUUCAUUAAUCAAGAACGAAAGUUAGGGGAUCGAAGACGAUCAGAUACCGUCGUAGUCUUAACCAUAAACUAUGCCGACUAGGGAUCGGACGAUGUUAACUUUUCUUGACUCGUUCGGCGCCUUACGGGAAA
rnacentral:rRNA from 1 species